CCUACGGGAGGCAGCAGUGAGGAAUAUUGGUCAAUGGCCGGAAGGCUGAACCAGCCAAGCCGCGUGAAGGACGAAGGUGCCAAGCAUUGUAAACUUCUUUUGUCAAGGGACAAAAUCAGGCUCGAGAGCCUGACCGAGGGUACUUGAAGAAAAAGCAUCGGCUAACUCCGUGCCAGCAGCCGCGGUGAUACGGAGGAUGCGAGCGUUAUCCGGAUUUAUUGGGUUUAAAGGGUGCGUAGGCGGGCUGUUAAGUCAGCGGUAAAAGCCCGGGGCUCAACCCCGGCGAGCCGUUGAUACUGGCGGUCUUGAGAUGUCGAGAGGUAUGCGGAAUGCGCAGUGUAGCGGUGAAAUGCUUAGAUAUUGCGCAGAACUCCGAUUGCGAAGGCAGCAUACCGGCGGCGAUCUGACGCUGAGGCACGAAAGCGUGGGUAUCGAACAGGAUUAGAUACCCCAGUAGUC
rnacentral:rRNA from 1 species